AUGAAGACCAGGGGGCCCACACCCUGCUCACGAGGGUGGGGGGCGCCCCCUGGGCACGCCCCCUACCUCGUGGGCCCCUUGGUGGCCCUCCGAUGCCAACUCCAACUCCAUAUAUUGGCUUUCGGGGAGAAAAAAAUCAGAGAGAAGAAAUCAUCGCGUUUUACAAUAUGGAGCCGCCGCCAAGCCCUAAUCUCUCUCGGGAGGGCUGCUCUGGAGUUCGUUCGGGGCUCCGGAGAGGGGGAUUCGUCGCCGUCGUCAUCAUCAACCAUCCUCCAUCACCAAUUUCAUGAUGCUCACCGCCGUGCGUGA
rnacentral:rRNA from 1 species